AGAGUUUGAUCAUGGCUCAGGACGAACGCUGGCGGCGUGCUUAACACAUGCAAGUCGAACGAGGUACUUCGGUGCCUAGUGGCGAACGGGUGAGUAACACGUGAGCAACCUGCCCUUGGCUCUGGGAUAGCCUCCGGAAACGGGGAUUAAUACCGGACAUGACCUUCUCCUGCAUGGGAGGGGGUGGAAAGUUUUUCGGC
rnacentral:rRNA from 1 species